rnacentral:tRNA from 1 species
GAUGAUGUAGUUUAAUGGUGGAGCGUGGGAAUCAUAAUCCUAAUGUUGUAGGUUCGAGUCCUACCAUCAUCA